UUUGCGUAAGGAAGUAGUUCGUACCAAAACAAAGUUUUCGACGUGAAAGCUGAUCUCAUCAUUUUCUAAAAGUAGGUACAGAAAACUUACCAAUAUUAUUUGAACUUAAUUUUAUUCUGUUUUGGAAUUCUUAUUUGGAUUUCAUGAUGCGUAACAGUGUUGAUAAUUCAGGUGUCUUGAUAUAUUUUUUUUUGUUGUUUGAGUUGUUUCCCUUGUUUUCCCGCAAUAUCACUAGUUUUGUCUAUGUUUAAGCGGCUUUGUUUGUAAAAAGUUCAAAGUGUUCUUAAUUUAUUGGAAAUAUGGAUUAUUGAUAGUUGAAGUUACAGCAGAGAGAGAGAGAGAGUUUGACAGUAUGCGUGUUUGAAGAAGAUAAUGCUUUUAUUGGUACAUUCAAUUCCACAAACUGAGUGUUGAUUUCCUCGAUUUCAUUGACUCGAUGAUUCAUUCUUUGAUUUCUAAUGAUCAAUCAACUUAUUGAUUUACUGAUUAAUUGGACAUGUCAUGGAGCUUAAUAUAGAUGGAGAAGUAACUUAGACGUCAUACAGUUAAAUUCAGUAUUAUUGGGGUUGUUCUAGUGCAAGUUAUCAUGUGUUUCGGGAUUUUCCAAGAUUUGAUGCAUCCUGGGUAAUAGUAGCCAAAAUACCGCCAUAUUCAAUUCCAAGAGGAACAUUGACAAAAAAAGACGAAGCAUUUUCUACUUACAUAAGAAGCAAUAGUUAGUUAUGUUAAAACGUACCAUACACACUUUUCCACACAGAUAUUUUUUUUACUUGAAAAAUAUUAUUUUUUACUAUGACUUUUUUAGUUUCAAAGGCAUCUACCUCUUACUUCAAAUACAUCAUCGUCGGAUACCCACGGCCGAACCAUUAACAUUUAUCAGCCGUGGGAUUUUUAGCCGAUAUUCAGUCGAUUAGAGGUGUGUCAAAGGCAGCUAUUUCAUUGGCUGCCUGGCGAUUUCAUGAGGCGAUUAAAACCAAUCAAAACGCUCGUUCUGUACGACGUUCGGUAUUACAGACACUAUUGCGACAACCAUAGACGACGUGAAUAGUUCAACACGAUUUACAGCAAGAAAGUAUAGAUAAUUUACUUUUACAGCGUGAUAUUUUCCUUUCUGAUUGAUAUCUGUUUGCAGAAGAACUGAUUUGGCGAUAUUUUUUGCCAUUGAUUUUAGCAAGACACGUACAACAGUUUCUAACCGUGGGCGCUGCCAUUUUGUUUCUUAUUGUUUUUUUACCUCCGCUGUUGAAGAAUAUAGAUUUGAUAAACGCGAUGUCAUUGGUAGAUAUUUUACGCACCUGUUGCCGUAUAUCGACGCCAAUCGAUUCAUUUUACCCACGGUUGAUUGCAUGUUAUAUAACAUGUUUAUCAAUCGUAGGUAUCCGACGAUGCAAAUACAUAUUCCUUAUCAUCAAUUACAUCUUAUGUGACUAGGUUCAUAAUUUACUCUUAAAGCAAUAUUUCCAGGUUAAUAUCCCUUUGAACUUUUUUUUAAAGAAAUAUUAUAAGUAAUUUAAUUUACUUUUUAGCUCACCUGAGCAAUGCUCAGGGUGAGCUAUUGUGAUGGCCCUGUGUCCGUCGUCGUGCGUCGUCAACUUUUAACAUAAACAACAUCUCCUCUGAAACCAAUGACUGCACAUCGACCAAACUUUACAGAAAUGAUCCUUGGGUGGGCCCCUUUCAAAGUUGUUCAAAUGGUUCCGGUCUGUUGCAUAUGUAGGUCAUAGGGCCAGAAAAGGAUUUCAAAAAACACAAAAAUUAAAAAAUCUUCUUGUCUGAAAGUACAUGGGCCAGAGCUUUGAUUUUUGGUAUAUGGUAUCAUUAUGGGUCCUCUACCAAAGUUGUUCAAAUUUUGUCCCUAGUGUCAAAAUUGGCCCGCCUGGGGGGUCAUAGGUUUUUCCUUAUAUGUAUAUAGUAAAAUCUAAAAAAAUCUUCUUCUCUGAUUUGGCAAAGGCUACAGAUUAGAUAUUUGGCAUGAAACAUUGUGUAGUAGACCUCUAUCAAGAUUGUUCAAAUAAUGGCCGGGGGGUCUUUGAUUCUCAUUACAUACAUAUAGUGAAAACUUGAAAAAUCUUCUGGUCUGAAAGUAAAUGGCCUAGAGCUUUGAUAUUUGGUCUAUGGUAUCACCUAUAGGUCCAAAACCAAACUUGUUCUAAUUUUGUUCCUAGAAUUAAAAUUGGCCCCGGGGGUCAUUGAUUUUCCCUAUAUGUAUAUAGUGAAAACUUAAAAAAUCUUCUUUUAAAGAACCCAAAGAGCUAGAGCUAAGAUAUUUAGCAUGAAACAUAUUCUAAUGGUUGUCUACCAAGUUUGUUCAAAUAAAAGCCCUGUGGUCAAAAUUGGCCCCGCCCCAGGGGGUCAUUGAUUUUCCCUAUAUGCACAUAGUAAAAACUUAAAAAAAUUCUUUUAAAGAAUGUAAAGAGCUAGAGCUAAGAUAUUUAGCAUGAAAUAUGUUCUAAUGGAUGUCUACCAAGUUCGUUCAAAUAAGAGCCCAGGGGUCAAAAUUG